CGAAAGCCUGACGGAGCAAUACCGCGUGAGGGAUGACGGCCUAUGGGUUGUAAACCUCUUUUUUCAGGGAGGAAUAAAUGACGUGUACCUGAAGAAUAAGCAUCGGCUAACUCCGUGCCAGCAGCCGCGGUAAGACGGAGGAUGCAAGUGUUAUCCGGAAUCACUGGGCGUAAAGCGUCUGUAGGUGGUCUGAUAAGUCAACUGUUAAAUCUUGAGGCUCAACCUCAAAAUCGCAGUCGAAACUAUUAGACUAGAGUAUAGUAGGGGUAAAGGGAAUUUCCAGUGGAGCGGUGAAAUGCGUAGAGAUUGGAAGGAACACCGAUGGCGAAGGCACUUUACUGGGCUAUUACUAACACUCAGAGACGAAAGCUAGGGUAGCA
rnacentral:rRNA from 1 species